CAACGUGGAUAAUCUACCCGACAGUCAGGGAUAACAUUUCGAAAGGAAUGCUAAUACCUGAUAAGCCUACGCCCUCCUCGGAGGAAGUAGGAAAAGGUGGGGACCUUCGGGCCUGCCGUUGUUGGAUGAGUCCGCGGCCCAUUAGCUAGUUGGUAGGGUAAUGGCCUACCAAGGCUACGAUGGGUAGCUGGUCUGAGAGGAUGAUCAGCCACACUGGAACUGAGACACGGUCCAG
rnacentral:rRNA from 1 species